rnacentral:rRNA from 1 species
GACGAACGCUGGCGGCGUGCCUAAUACAUGCAAGUCGAACGAGAGCGACCGGUGCUUGCACUGGUCAAUCUAGUGGCGAACGGGUGAGUAACACGUGGGUAACCUGCCCAUCAGAGGGGGAUAACAUUCGGAAACGGAUGCUAAAACCGCAUAGGUCUUUGAACCGCAUGGUUUGAAGAGGAAAAGAGGCGCAAGCUUCUGCUGAUGGAUGGACCCGCGGUGCAUUAGCUAGUUGGUGAGGUAACGGCUCACCAAGGCCGUGAUGCAUAGCCGACCUGAGAGGGUGAUCGGCCACAUUGGGACUGAGACACGGCCCAAACUCCUACGGGAGGCAGCAGUAGGGAAUCUUCCGCAAUGGACGCAAGUCUGACGGAGCAACGCCGCGUGAGUGAAGAAGGUUUUCGGAUCGUAAAACUCUGUUGUUAGAGAAGAACAAGUGCUAGAGUAACUGUUAGCG